UCCAGUAGACAUCUUUAUUUUAUGUAGGCGUUCAUGGGCUUUACAGGUUUCACAUCCUUUUUGCCCCAUGUUUAUGAAAUUGGCACCAUUUGCUGUUCCUGUUUACCAGGGAAAAUAAUAGAAGUGUCCACGGUUAUAACCCCAACCACUGGUCACAGCCAAGUGUCCACAGUUACAAUCACAAAGCUGGAAUCUUGAACAGGGGCGGUUUUAUCAUAGCAUGUCCUCUAAACUCUGUAUUUGUUUCAAAAAGGGGAAGGUCACCUCUAAGGUCCCAUCCACUUCGGGAUUUGCAAACCCAUGGUUUCAUAAUCUGUGUUCUGUAAAGACUUUGUUUACAUAUUAAGAGUUCAGUAAAAGACAGGACCAAAACAAAAAAUCCAAACCAGCUAUAGAACUAUUUCCAGUGCAGCCAGGGCUACACAGAGAAAACUUCUCAAAAAAAGUCAAAAGUAUAAAUAUAUAAAUAUUGAUUUUAGUCAUUUAGCUUUUCUGGUUUACAAAUACACAGAUGCACUUAAGUAAGGCAAGACUGGAGGCUUGAUUACUUAAAAACAUUUUUUUUUUUUUUAGUGGAUUUUAUGUGUAUCAGUGCAUGCUGGGGAGACACUAGGUGUUGGAUCUUCUAGAACCAGGAGUUAUGGAUGCUAGGAACAGAAUCCAGAUCCUCUGGGAAGAGUAGCCAGUGAGUGCUCUUUACUGACAAGUAAUCUCCCUAGCUCUCAAUUACUUUAAAAAAAAAAAAAAGGAUUUAUGUGUUCCACUAGUGUGUGAAUUCCUAAAAGUCAGAAGAGAAUGCCAGAUCCUCGGGAGGUGGAGUUACAGGUGGUUGUGAAGCUGCCAAAGGUGAGAGCUGAGAAACAAACUCUGGUCCUCGGUAAGGGCAGCACGUGUUCUUAACCUCUGAGCUAUCUCUCCAGCCCUGGUUACUUGUAUUUUAUUCUAUUAUGAAAUUGGCUCUCACUGGGUGGCCUGGAACUCAGAUUCAGCCUGCCUCUGCCCGAGUAUUGGGAUUAGAAGCCUGUAUUAACACACCAGACUCGUCACGACUACUUUAUGCAUUUUCCGAGACAAGGUUUCAUGGGACUCAGACCGAUCUUGAGCUCGAAAUGUGCACAACAAUGUGCCUUGGGCUCCGGAUAUUCCUGCCUCAGUCAUUGCAGUGCCGGAAUUAUUGUUCCGUGCUUUGUAUUUUUAGCUAGUUUGCAAACCAGAUCAACACUACGCGAACCAUCAUUAAACUUUUCCGCGUUCUGAAAAUUCAAACAGUAAGGCACAUGACUGUGCGACUUUGCUGCCUAACUCCGAGGCUCGUCAUCUCUUUUUGGGUCUCAUGAACCAUCGCGGUGAAAUUUCUUGAGCUGGGGAAGGAACGCGGCUGAAGCGCGGGGUCCACCGAAACCUCCGGGCAGUCUGGAGCUCACCACAUCCCGGUUGCUAACGUGGCUCUCGGGAAUCAGAGCGAAGCGCUGUCCUAGAACACCUCCAGGAAAGAGCCGAAACGCGGGCGGGGUCUUGAGCGCGAUUUUCCUUCGCCGCAACCCAGCUCUCUUUGCUACUUCAAGGGCCUCCUGUCGGCUACAGCCAUGUUUUCUCAAAGCUCACACGCGCUCACAGGCGACCAUCGACCCCUCGACCGCAGCACAAGGCCAGCCAAUACAGCACAUCUCUAACCUUCUGGCUCCUUCGACAACAACCUUGCUUCCACUUCCGGGACUGAGUAUGGCC
ensembl:lncRNA